rnacentral:lncRNA from 1 species
GCAUUUACGUCCAUUUUUUCGCAGACGAGGAAACACCAGAAUCAGCGUAUCUUCAGCAAUGCAACAUGAAAUGAAUAUGAUUUGAACCUCGUCCGGAACUCACCUGGACCACUCGAUGUUGGUAUUACUGUGUUAAAAAUCAGAAAAUUAGAGAAGCAGAGAAACAUUAGUUUAAUAAACAAAACAGAAAAAAUAAUUUCGAGCCCA